GGGGACAUGGUUCAGUGGUGGAGCACCUGCUUGUUAUGCAGAAGGUCCCAGGUUCAAUCCCAGGCAUCCCCA
rnacentral:tRNA from 1 species